ACGAACGAAACGCGAGCCUCUUCAGUUCGUCUCGCACUUCACCGACGAGACAGCCGCGCCACCGACGCCAGCAGCCAGCCAACCAACGGCGGCCGGCUGCCGGCGGCGGGGUGUUCUGCCCCAUCGCCGGCGAAGUCCUACCACGUGUGACUCUGUGAGUGUCUUCCACUCGUAGCUCUCCUUCCCUGUUCCCCAUUCUGUGAGUGCCUCUAUACAAGUCCCAGGAGUCGCGAGACCUACCAGCACCAACCUAUAAAUCAGCGACCGUCUUGUUAAAUUACUUGCGCAAUAGGGGGACUAGAAGAUUGCCGCGGGGCCAAGAAAUUCGGAAAGAUUAUUACAUGUUGCGCCGUUGAUAAUACGAACAGAUCCAAAACCCGCGGCAAAUUUCGCAGUACGGUAGGGUACUCGUGUGCCAGUGUGGCGUCGUAUGGGCGCCGGCUCGGGUUGCAGCCUGCGGAGUUUCGGAAACAUCAAGUGGCGCAAGUGGUAGUAUAAAUUUGAUUUUUCAUUUAUUUACUUCAAUCGAAGCAGAAGAAAGAUGCCACUGAAUGAGCAGGUGAUGCAUGAUGCUGUUUCCCGAUGCUGAUGCUGAUGCUUUGGUUGGCUAGCCUAUGAUGAAUUGAUGAUGAUACGAUGCCUGCCACCAAUGGUGUUCGCUGAACCUGUCUUGCUUCUGGUUCGUCCACUGGUAUUAUCGUUUAGCCAUGUUGCUGAUUUAAGUAUUGAAAGGAACUAAACAGCAGAGGGAUUUAGGUGCACCUUUCGCUUUUGAUGAAUGGUUGUCAUUGAAAAGUUCGACAUAUUCAAGAUGAAUUAAGGAUAACAGUCAGACGGUCAGACCUGCCAAGUGGGCUUGUUUAAGACUCCUACACUGUAUUCUAUGGAAUGAGACUGUCCUGGCAGCGCUAGAGACCAUUUAGCAUGGAACAGUUCACCCUAACGAUGACAUCGCUGACGUGCGCAUAGGCUUAAUGGAAUCUUUUGACCAUGUGACUGAUAUGCAAACUGAAGGAGCCAGCGGUUUAAUGAUUAUAUGUUCAAAGCUUGAGAAUUACAUAGUCCAACUUGCCGUAUACACUAGUUUUAACCUGAUACUUUUUACUAAUUUCUAGGUAAGUGCCAGCAUCUCAGCAGAAUGUUCACAGCAUAGAAAUAAGACAAAGCUUUCUGCUGAGGGCCAGCGGCGGAAGAGCAAGCGGUGUCCUGCAAAGAAUCGUCAUCGUCGUCCUCGCACAUCAGGUCCGACGUGAUGAAGGAGUCGUCAUCAUCUUCGUCUCCCAAGGAAUCAAAGGAGGAAGAGAAGCCAGAGGAGA